AUGUCCGUCACCCUUGUUUUUCUCCUGCUAGGAGACCGUUUGCAGCCUCCUCGACCCGGAUCCACGCCGGCGCCACCGGACCACCCUCUCCGACAGCCUCGAGCCCCGCUCGUCAUCGCCUCCGACCUCGCGCCCCAGGUGCGCCGGAGAACCUCCCCAGCCGCAGCAAUCAGACGCUCGCAACCCUCGCGGCUCCGCUGGAAGCUGCUCCUCGCCGAGCUCCUCAAGUCCCACCGCUGCCUCAAGUUCCUCGAUGUCGGAGUCCUCAGCGCCACCGCGACUACCCCUUGCCUCGUCCUGGCAUCGCUGAUGUGCAGCCAUGCUGUCAGCCCCUGCUCAGUCCAUCGCCUCCUCUACAUCGCGGCCUCCCCUGCUUCGGCCUCCAGCCUAUGCCGUCGAGCGCCGCCUCCGCCUGGAUCUAUCAAGUCCCUUCUCCUCGCCAAGUUCUGCCCGUCGUUCCUCACCCGCCGGAGGGCACCGUCGUACCCCGUUCCAGCACAGUUGUUGUCAAUCUUGUCUCUCUGCGAGGAAGACGAGCCCUCGCUCAUUGACCUCGGCCUCCUCAAGCCCUGCGCAGCACCGGUGACGCGCCAUGGACGCGAGCCCCUUCGCGUCAAGUCCCUGCUGUCGGCACGUUGCUUCCUCUGCUUUGUCCAGGACUACGCGCCCUGCUUCGCUCGAUUCAGCCGUGCGUUGACCGGGUCACUGCCUCAAGACGCCGGCCCAAUGCUGCUGCCUCUGUCCAGCCCAGCACCAGAUCUGGCCCAAGGCCCCUGUGGUGAGCAGCCCAACCAUGCCUAG
rnacentral:rRNA from 1 species